ensembl:snoRNA
ACCCCCUGACCAUGGGCAAAGAAACACCUCAUUAGUGGUGGUUUUUUUAUAUUAAGUCAGGGGCAAAACAAAUGGAAGGCCUUUGUUCAUCCCAGCUUGAUGCCUAACUUGGUGGCCAAAACUGUUUCAUGUCCAGGGCACAGUC